rnacentral:rRNA from 1 species
UACAGAGGGGGCAAGCGUUUAUUCGGAAUUAUUGGGCGUAAAGGGCGCGUAGGCGGCUUGGCAAGUGGAUGGUGAAAUCCCUCGGCUUAACCGAGGAACUGCCGUCCAAACUGCUUCGCUUGAGACCGGGAGAGGUGAGUGGAAUUCCCAGUGUAGCGGUGAAAUGCGUAGAUAUUGGGAGGAACACCAGUGGCGAAGGCGGCUCACUGGACCGGUACUGACGCUGAGGAGCGAAAGUGUGGGGAGCAAACGGG